rnacentral:rRNA from 1 species
ACGGGGGUUGGAGGGCAAGUCUGGUGCCAGCAGCCGCGGUAAUUCCAGCUCCAAUAGCGUAUAUUAAAGUUGUUGCAGUUAAAAAGCUCGUAGUUGAAUUUCGGGAUCAAAUUGUCGGUCGUGCCUCGGUACGUACUGGCAUUAUUGGUUCCUCCCUUCUGAAGAACCGCGAUGUCAUUAAUUUGGUGUCGCGGGGAAUCAGGACUGUUACUUUGAAAAAAUUAGAGUGUUUAAAGCAGGCUCGCGCUUGAAUACAUUAGCAUGGAAUAAUGAAAUAGGACGUUUGAUUCUAUUUUGUUGGUUUCUAGGAUCGACGUAAUGAUUAAUAGGGAUAGUUGGGGGCAUUAGUAUUCAAUUGUCAGAGGUGAAAUUCUUGGAUUUAUUGAAGACUAACUACUGCGAAAGCAUUUGCCAAGGAUGUUUUCAUUAAUCAAGAACGAAAGUUAGGGGAUCGAAGACGAUCAGAUACCGUCGUAGU